rnacentral:sRNA from 1 species
AUUUUCCUCUGCCUCUCUCCGGGCAGCUGGCGUGGCCACCUCGCAAGGCUGCUUCUAGGGACACGAGACUCGGGAGGGUCAGAGACUUUCAGGCCGGGCCUUCACUCCCUUCCCCGGGGCACUUGGGCAAGAGUUCCAGCUCUUGGCUACCUCUGGCCCUCACGUGAGUUCAGACACCCAGCACACGCGACCCUCUCAGGGAAACCCCGGGAAGCUGCGCGCAAUCGCUGGGGACUCGCCAGGGCUCCACUUCCCAAGCUCCGCGCCCCCUGCGCCCAAAGAAGCAGGGCGGAGCAGAGGCCGCCGGCGUGGAGGAGGCGAGCGCGGGGCUGGCCCGGGAGCCGCCCCCGGGGAGGGACUGAGACCUGCCCCAGGAGUCGAGGGCGAGCGGCGGACCCGGCUGGGCCCAGCGCACGCCGAGGGGAGGGAGCCUCCGCCACCGCCGCUGCCUCCGCGUGCUCAGCCUGUCCCCGCCCAGGGAGCCGGAGCCUCCAACUAACUCCGCCCGCCGCUCCGCCGCCCGCAGGCUCCGGCUUCCGUCCCGGACAGAGCCCGUGGCCGCGCAGGUUCUGAAUGAUGACUGACGCGGGUUUGGGUGAUACCCCUCACAGCCCCUGUCAUUCCGGAGUGAUAAGGCACCCGCGCGUCUAGCCCCAGCGCCAGGGCCCGCGAGCGGCGCUGGAGGGAGGAAAGCUUCCGCCUGCGGGCCGGACAAAAGUCCCUCCUGCCCACGGCUUUCUGCCCGCCGCUCGUGACCGAGACGCCUCGCCGCGGCCAGCUCGCUGCUCUCGCGGGCGGAUGGUGUGUGGCCGCCGCAGGACGCC